UACAGAGGUGGCAAGCGUUGUUCGGAAUUACUGGGCGUAAAGGGCGCGUAGGCGGCCUUCUAAGUCAGACGUGAAAUCCCCCGGCUUAACCUGGGAACUGCGUUUGAUACUGAGGAGCUUGAGUCCGGGAGAGGUGAGUGGAACUGCGAGUGUAGAGGUGAAAUUCGUAGAUAUUCGCAAGAACACCAGUGGCGAAGGCGGCUCACUGGCCCGGUACUGACGCUGAGGUGCGAAAGCGUGGGGAGCAAACAGG
rnacentral:rRNA from 1 species